CUUCAUUAACAGAAGAAAUGGGGGCUUGAGAAGGCCUAAGCAACUUGCUCAAGGUCGUGUGGUAUAAGAGGCAGAGGUGAACUUUGAUAUCAGGAUUGUAGGACUCAAGGUCUGUACUGGAUCCGCUGUUUGGAGACAGAAACAGGAGUCCUGUGCCCCGGGCCGGUGGGAUGUUGACAGCUCCUUUGGUUGUCGAGGCGGCUGGGCUGAGCACAUGGCGGCAUUGGGAGGGCCUGCAGGAAGACUCAUUUCCUGACUGACUGACAAACAGAG
rnacentral:lncRNA from 1 species